rnacentral:lncRNA from 1 species
GUAAUGGUUUUUGGCUUUGGGUCAAGUUUGGUAAUGGGUUUUUUUCCUAGCAUCUUUCCUUUCUUUUCCUUCAUCAGGAGUUGGACCCAACCUAUCAAUGGUGUAUGAAGGGACGUGUGUGUGGCUGAAAUAGGUGCCCUGUUUUUCUUUCUUCUACUCAGACUCAUUUUUCCUUUUUUAUUGUAUAAAGUCUUUUCUUCCUAUCUUUUUAUAUGUAUGGGGCAACAUGCUUAAGUCUCAAACACUGUAAUUUUCUUUGCUUUGGGUGUUGUGUUUUUCUUUCUUUUGCUUAAACUCAUUUUCUCUUUCUUCUUAUCUUUUUUCUUGUAUAGGACAGCAUACUCAGUCUCUAACACUGUAAUUUUCUUUGCUUUUCGUCUUUGGAAGUUUCUCUCUCAACCAAAACGCUCGGCCUUCUCAAAAAGUUGUUUGCUCUUCCAUGUCUUCUGAUCCCUCUAUAUGCAUGCAUAUACUAUAAUUGUUAAUUAACUUUUUUUGUUGGGUUUGUUUUGUGUAAAGAAUGGAAAAAGAAGGAGAAGAAAAUUAAGAAAGAUCAAAGUCCACUUUUUGGAAGUUGUGACGAAUUCAAGAGGAGAUGAAGAAGAGUUCAAGAGAUAAUCGAUGAAGAAUCUUGUUAGAAAUUUACAAAAUAAAAAUGAAAAGCCAAACUUUUCUUUGAAGUUUUUUUUUUUGGUAUUUUAACUAUAAUUAGCAGAUGUGAUUAUGGAAAUCAAAACUCGGACUUUUCUUUGAAGUUUUUGUUUUUGUGGGUAUUUAAACUAUAUUUAGUAGAUUUGAUUAUGGAAAUCAAAACCCGAACUUUUCUUUAAAGUUUUUGUUUUCGUAGGUAUUUUAGUUAUAUUUAGUAGAUUUGAUUAUGGGUUUUGAUGCAUGGAAAGUUUGGGUAUUGGAAAAAUGUGCGAAUUAGAAAUUUGUUUGAAUUUGAGAGUUUUCAGCACAAGUGAAAACUUUUCUUGGAGUUUCAUUAAAUAGUAACAGGUUGUUUCAUGUUGCAUUUCAACACAUUCACUAAUACUAUUUCUACUAGUAGAGAUGGAACAUCAGUUUGCCC